rnacentral:lncRNA from 1 species
AAUAUGAAGUAAAUCUGCAUAUUGACUGUAUAAAGCAGUUAUGUCUUAUUGAAUUUAAUACCCACACAGAAUUAAGUACUUGACAAUAACAAGUGAGAAGAAUAAAUGUAAUUAAAACAUUCUCUGUUCCUUGCUUUGUUACGGCAGGAAGCAAAAGAACUAAGUAAUAUUAGACUAAAAGGAUGCACAUUGUAGUUCAUAGGAUAGCCUCCAAAGUAGGUUCUUAAAGUGUGCUACCUAGAUCAACAGCAGCACCACCAGGGAACUUGCUUUAGUUCACAAUACAAUUAAAAGUUCUGUAACUCACUUUAGUACCAUUCCAGAUUUAAUUCAGAGCUGACUUGUAUUUAACUGUCACUUCAAUUUGCCACAAAAAAUAACUUUAUUUCCUUGUUUUAGAUGAGGCAGAAGGUAUGAGAUACUGUUUUGUUCAUUUAUUCAGCAGAUAUUUAGUAUGUCUAGACACAAUUCUAGAUACUGGAGAUAAGCUCUAAACAAAACUUUAUAGAAAGAAAAAUUAUGGCCCUCUUAGGAGACUUGUAAUUUUAUGUGCUGGAGGAGAUACACACACACAAAAAGUAAAUAUUAGAAGGUGACAAGUGCUUUGGAGAAAAACUAAGCAGGAAAAUAGCAUAGGAGGAUGCUGGAGCAGGGAGUUGUAGUUUUUAAUUGGUGGUGACAGAAUGCUGACCUGAGAAGCAGAGUUAAAGACUGGAAGGAGAUGAAAAUGUAAUCCAUGUUUAAAUGUAGAAGAUUUCAGGUGGAGUAAGCAGUUCGGAGGUCUAGAAGUAAAAAUGUGGCUAGUGUUCAAGCAACAGAAAGAAGGCCAAUAUUGCUGCACUACAGUGAUCUAGGUGGGAGCAGUAGAUGAUUUCAGAACAGUGAAGAAGAGCUGUUUAAAGAGAGCAUUGUGUAGCAUUGUAAGAUUUUGAGCAAAGUAGUGACAUAAUCUGUCUUAAAAUUUUGAAAAAUCAUUUUGGCUGUUUUGUAGAGAAUAGACAUAAGGUGUCAGCACUGGAAUCAGGAAGGCUGUUACAUAAUUAUCCAGAGAAGAUUAGAUAGUGGUAAGCCAGUGAGAGGUAAUCAUGUUCAUAUUUUGAAUUUGGAAUGAAUAGGAUUGCAAGGAGAUUACAUGUGGAGAAUAACAGAAAAAUCUAGGAUGACAGUAAGGUGGGUGUUUUUUUCCCCCAAGCAUUUUUAAGCACAGAAUUGCGUUAAGAUGGAAGCGACUACUAGAGGAACUGCCUUACAGGAGAGGAUCAGGGGAGAAGACAAGGAAUUGACUUCUAGACUGGCUAAGUUUGAGAGUUACUAAAAAUACUAAGUAGAGAUGACAAGUUUGGAAUUCAUAGGAAAGUUGUAAACUGGUUAAGUUUGAGAUGUUACUUGCCAAUGGACAUGCCAGUUGGAGUUCUUAGCAGAUUGUGGGGCUAGAUGUAAAAAUUUUGUAGCUGUCAAAGAUAUUUAAGCAAGAAAUGGGAUGAGUUCUCUCCAGGGGAGUGUACUUCACAGUGCUCCAGUGUUCAGUGAUUGUGAAGAAUCAACAAAAAGACUGAGAAAGCAUGGUUAUCAAUAGUUAGAAAGUUGGGGUAACCAUUGUGGCUCAGUGGUAACAAACCCAGCUAGUAUCCAUGAAGAUGUAGGGUUUGAUCCCUGCCCUUGCUCAGUGGGUUAAGGAUCUGGUAUUGCCGUGACUUACAGUGUAGGUCGCAGAUGCAGCUCGGCUCUGGCAUUUCUGUGGUUGUAGUGUAGGCCUGCAGCUACAGCUCAGAUUCAAACACUAGCCUGGGAACUAUAUGCCACGGGUGCAGCCCUAAAAAGACAAAAAAAUUUUUGGAAAAUUGGUGCCUGGGAAGCCAAGUGAAGACAGUCAAGGAGGAGGAAUGGAUGGCUUUGUCAGAUGCUACUACUAAUAUAAGUAAGAUGAACCAAAAAAAAAAGGAAUGGUACGACAUAAGUUUGGAGUGGUUUUAAGAAAGAAAGAGAAGGGAGAAGUUGGAGAUGGAGAAGUACAAAGAACUGUUUUGGAGAAUAUGAAAAUAAUACCAUGUUUAAUCUCACCUAUAUUAUUUAAGACAUGAAAUCAAUGGCUGUCUCUAAAAAAGCCACACAAUUCAUUAUCUCUCUCUGUUUGAUUUCUGUACUACCUAAUUUUGAUCACAAGAAAGAGAUCAAUUUAAGGACAUUUAACUUUGAAAGUUUUUUUGUAUUUGGGCAUAUAUUAGUGGUAUAUCAAUCUACUACACAACUUAGAAUAGAUUUACAAGGAGAUCCUGCUGAAUAGCAUUGAGAACUAUGUCUAGAUACUCAUGUUGCAACAGAAGAAAGGGUGGGGGAAAAACUGUAAUUGUAAUGUAUACAUGUAAGGAUAACCUGACCCCCUUGCUGUACAGUG